rnacentral:rRNA from 1 species
GACGAACGCUGGCGGCGUGCCUAAUACAUGCAAGUCGAACGCUGAAGCGAGGAGCUUGCUCUUCUUGGAUGAGUUGCGAACGGGUGAGUAACGCGUAGGUAACCUGCCUUGUAGCGGGGGAUAACUAUUGGAAACGAUAGCUAAUACCGCAUAACAAUGGAUGACACAUGUCAUUUAUUUGAAAGGGGCAAUUGCUCCACUACAAGAUGGACCUGCGUUGUAUUAGCUAGUAGGUGAGGUAAUGGCUCACCUAGGCGACGAUACAUAGCCGACCUGAGAGGGGGGGCGGCCGCACGGGAGGGGGGACAGGGCCCAGACGCGUACGGGAGGCAGAAGUGGGGAAUGUUGGGGAAGGGGCGGACGCAUGACGGAGCGAGGCGGGGUGAGGGAUGAAGGUGUUGGGAUCGUAAAAAUCGGUUAUGAGGGAAGAAGAAAGGUGGAAGGAAAGGUGCACGUCUUGACGGUACCGGGUCAGAAAGGCACGGCUAACUACGUG